rnacentral:ncRNA from 2 species
AGACCUUCGCAGAAAUCAGGUGCGCUCGCGCAUAAAGGGAAUCCGGUGAAAAACCGGAGCUGUUUCCGCAACUGUAAGUGCUGACGAACCAUGGAAAAACCCACUGUUCCAUCAAUGAACGGGAAGGGCCUUGAAGUAGGAGGAUGCACAAGCCAGGAUACCUGCCUGAUUUCCAUCGUAUUA